GCUCGUGUAGAAUAGUGGUCAAGUUCGCGGCCCUUUCGCGGCCGAAACCCGGGUCAACCCGGGUCCGAAUCCCGGCACGAGCA
rnacentral:tRNA from 1 species